rnacentral:rRNA from 1 species
AGUACUGCCAGACUGGAACCGGAGAGGUAAGAGGUACUACAGGGUAGGAGUGAAAUCUUGUAAUCCCUGUGGGACCACCUGUGGCGAAGGCGUCUUACCAGAACGGGUUCGACGGUGAGGGACGAAAGCUGGGGGCACGAACCGGAUUAGAUACCCGGGUAGUCCCAGCCGUAAACGAUGCUCGCUAGGUGUCAGGCAUGGCGCGACCGUGUCUGGUGCCGCAGGGAAGCCGUGAAGCGAGCCACCUGGGAAGUACGGCCGCAAGGCUGAAACUUAAAGGAAUUGGCGGGGGAGCACAACAACGGGUGGAGCCCUGCGGUUUAAUUGGACUCAACGCCGGACAACUCACCGGGGGCGACAGCAAUAUGUAGGCCAAGCUGAAGACUUUGCCUGAAUCGCUGAGUGGAGGUGCAUGG